GAUGAACGCUGACAGAAUGCUUAACACAUGCAAGUCUACUUGAACUUCGGUUUGGGUGGCGGACGGGUGAGUAACGCGUAAAGAACUUGCCUCACAGUUAGGGACAACAUUUGGAAACGAAUGCUAAUACCUGAUAUUACGAUUUUAGGGCAUCCUAGGAUUAUGAAAGCUAUAUGUGCUGUGAGAGAGCUUUGCGUCCCAUUAGCUAGUUGGAGAGGUAACGGCUCACCAAGGCGAUGAUGGGUAGCCGGCCUGAGAGGGUGAACGGCCACAAGGGGACUGAGACACGGCCCUUACUCCUACGGGAGGCAGCAGUGGGGAAUAUUGGACAAUGGACCAAAAGUCUGAUCCAGCAAUUCUGUGUGCACGAUGACGUUUUUCGGAAUGUAAAGUGCUUUCAGUUGGGAAGAAAAAAAUGACGGUACCAACAGAAGAAGUGACGGCUAAAUACGUG
rnacentral:rRNA from 1 species